UGUGUGGGACCCCACUGAAAAUUGGACUGUUCAACUCACCUGGCAGCCACUCCCAAAGCCCCUGGAACUCUGGCCCAACGCUCUCUGACUGACUCCUUCCCAGAUCUUCUCGGCUUAGCGGCUGAAGACUGACACUGCCGGAUCACCUCGGAAGCCCCCUAGACCAUCAUGGACGCCGAGCUUCAGGUAACUCUCACAGUGGAAGGUGGUUUUCAUGGAGACAAAAGGUGGAGAAGGACAGUCCCGUGAAGUGGAUGCAACAGUUGAAGGUAACAGUAAGUCUUCAUCAAGAGCCAGACAUGCCUUAGAAUAACAGCAGGUGAAGAGAGAAAAAGUACAGGAAAACAAACAAGGAUGGAAGUAUGGUACAGGAGGGUGCACAGUGAAUAGAAGAAAAUGCUAUGGAAGACUACUCCUCACCGAGCAAAACCCGACUAGGUGGAACGUGGACUGAAGGUGGAGAUGAAUUCAAGAGUUUUACGGAGGGCACCUGUCACCUAAUCACAGCGCCAACGACGCUACCAAGAAAGCAUCAUGGCCUUUUCUUUUACAGG
rnacentral:lncRNA from 1 species